AACGAACGCUGGCGGCAGGCUUAACACAUGCAAGUCGAACGCACCUUUCGGGGUGAGUGGCCGACGGGUGAGUAACGCGUGGGAAUCUACCCUUCUCUACGGGAUAGCUCCGGGAAACUGGAAUUAAUACCGUAUACGUCCUGAGGGAGAAAGAUUUAUCGGGGAAGGAUGAGCCCGCGUUGGAUUAGCUAGUUGGUGGGGUAAAGGCCUACCAAGGCGACGAUCCAUAGCUGGUCUAAGAGGAUGAUCAGCCACAUUGGGACUGAGACACGGCCCAAACUCCUACGGGAGGCAGCAGUGGGGAAUAUUGGACAAUGGGCGCAAGCCUGACCCAGCCAUGCCGCGUGAGUGAUGAAGGCCCUAGGGUUGUAAAGCUCUUUCAGUGGGGACGAUAAUGACGGUACCCACAGAAGAAGCCCCGGCUAACUUCGUG
rnacentral:rRNA from 1 species